rnacentral:rRNA from 1 species
UACGAAGGGGGCUAGCGUUGUUCGGAAUCACUGGGCGUAAAGGGCGCGUAGGCGGCCGAUUAAGUCGGGGGUGAAAGCCUGUGGCUCAACCACAGAAUUGCCUCGAUACUGAUUGGCUUGAGACCGGAAGAGGUCAGUGGAACUGCGAGUGUAGAGGUGAAAUUCGUAGAUAUUCGCAAGAACACCAGUGGCGAAGGCGGCUGACUGGUCCGGUUCUGACGCUGAGGCGCGAAAGCGUGGGUAGCAAACAGG